rnacentral:lncRNA from 1 species
GCCCCGGGAGGGCAGACGCAGCCUCGGCGCGGGGCAGCCCUGGGACCCCGACGACGCGGGCGGCCGGCGGCUCCUCACCCCGUCCGCCCCCCCAGCCGGCCCUGGACCCCCCGCCGUGACCCCGGGCGCCGACCCGUGACCCCCGCGUCUCCCUGCCCUGGACGGCUCAGCCCGGCAACCAGCGCCUCGCGGCCAUGGCCCCCGGAACGGGCGGCCUCGCGCGCCCGCUGCUUGUGCUCCUGGUGUCCCUCGCGGCCCCCGGCGCCCGUCCCCAGGCCCAGGGCCUCGUCCAGGGCGGGCUAGGCAGUGGCCCGGACACAGCGCUCAGCGCCUCCCUCCUGCGAGCCUUCUGGUGCCAGCCCGCCCGCCAGCUGCCCCGGGACCAGCUCUCGGNNNNNNNNNNNNNNNNNNNNNNNNNNNNNNNNNNNNNNNNNNNNNNNNNNUACCCCGCAGGCUCCGCCAUAGGUGGGCGCCACGGCCGCUCCCCACUCCCACCGUCCCACCCGGGCCCCUGCCUGUGCUGCUCCUGCCUGCAAGCCCCGUCCUUGCCCCGGGCCGGGCGGGUGGCAGGGGCUCUGCAGACGGGGGGCACGGGGCACGGGGCAGGAGCCCCCACCCAGCACGCUCUAGCUCGCACAUGCCGGCCUGCCCUCCGGAGCCUUCCGGGGGCCCUGCUGGCUGCUGCAGCCAGGGGUUGUCAGCCGUGCGACCCCCGGCCUGGGAGCCCUGGGUGGCCCGGGGCCCCUCUGCCCCCCGCCGAGCCGUGGAGACUAGAAAUAAACCCGACAACUGUAACCGGCAGCCAGCGUGAACUCGUCUCCCAUGGAAGAGUCUGUGCCUCGCGCCCUCGCUGCGCGGUGUCCCUAGGCCUCAGUUUCCUUGUCUGAAGGGGGGACCGUGGCCGUGCCGAGGGCGGUGGGGUGGGCCCAGCGGUGGGCGCCAGGUGCACUGCGGCACGGUUUCCUCCCCGGCCUCCUGCUGUUGCUCCCCGUGUCGCCCCCUCUCAGCAGCCAGAGACUCCCACAAGAUCUCAACCCACAGCUCUUGCAGGGGGGGCUCCAGGCUUGGGGUGGAGCUGGGGUGCCCCUGCCCCCUCGCCCGCUGGGUGCUAGCGCAAAGCACGGCACCCCGUGGCCACCCAGCAACCCCCACACGUCUGCGUCUGGGGGGCUUGUCCAGAACUGGGGAUCCCAGCUUCUCUGCUCUGCCAGGUGGGGUAGGGGGGAGGCCUGGCGCCCCAGACCCUCCCCUGUGGCGCAAUUGGAGCUCAGGGCCCCAGCGCCCUCCUGGCCCUGCACGCGGGGGCCGAAGCCCCAGAAGUAGGGGAACUGGAGGUGCAGCCCCUGGGGCCGGCUUGGGGCUCAGCCCGGCACAGGGGGCAGCACCCAGUCGGGCAGAGGGUUCCGUGGCGCCGCUGCCCUAGAGGUAGAACGCAUCAGGAAGUGCCUCCUGUGGUCUAGCCUCGCCCCUGCCUGCGGAGCCGUCCCCUCCCGGUCCGCACAUGCCGGGCGCUGGAUCAGAGGCCGGGGGUCUGACCACAGCCACCUCAAGCAAAGCCCGGGGCGCGGCCGUCGGGGCCCAGGCUGGCGUCGGGGCGGCGGGCAGGCCCUGCAGGCCCCGGCUUCUUGCUCCAGCGCCCCCAGACACGGCGUGUGCACACACCGGGGGC